CCCUCCAAGGCUAAAUACUACCUAGUGACCGAUAGCGUAUAGUACCGUGAGGGAAAGGUGAAAAGAACCCCGGGAGGGGAGUGAAAUAGAACCUGAAACCCUGCACUUACAAGCUGUGGAAGCACAUUUCUUGUGUGACCGCGUACUUUUUGUAGAACGGGCCAACGAGUUACGUUAAGUAGCAAGGUUAAGCACUUAAGGUGUGGAGCCGUAGCGAAAGCGAGUUUUAACUGAGCGUUCAGUUACUUGACGUAGACCCGAAACCGGGCGACCUACCCAUGAGCAGGAUGAAGCGAAAGUAAAAUUUCGUGGAGGUCCGAACCCACGAGCGUUGAAAAGCUCGGGGAUGACUUGUGGGUAGCGGUGAAAUUCCAAUCGAGCCCGGAGAUAGCUGGUUCUCCCCGAAAUAGCUUUAGGGCUAGCCUCAAGGUGAGAGAUACGGAGGUAGAGCACUGAAUGUCCUAGGGGGUAUUGCACCUACCGAAGACUAUCAAACUCCGAAUGCCGUCAUCUUAUACUUGGGAGUCAGACUGUGGGUGAUAAGAUUCAUAGUCGAAAGGGCAACAGCCCAGAUCGUCAGCUAAGGUCCCUAAAUGUAAGUUAAGUGGUAAAGGAUGUGGGAUUGCACAGACAACCAGGAUGUUGGCUUAGAAGCAGCCACUCAUUCAAAGAGUGCGUAAUAGCUCACUGGUCGAGUGAUCCUGCGCCGAAGAUUUCCGGGGCUAAAACUUACUACCGAAGCUACGGCAUCAGUAAUGAUGGGUAGGGGAGCUUCCCAUACGGGUUGAAGCAUGACCGUAAGGACAUGUGGACAGUAUGGGAGUGAGAAUGUUGGCAUGAGUAGCGAGAUGUGGGUGAGAAUCCCACAGGCCGUAAACCCAAGGUUUCCAGGGGAAGGUUCGUCCGCCCUGGGUUAGUCGGGACCUAAGCUGAGGCCGAAAGGCGUAGGUGAUGGACAACAGGUUGAUAUUCCUGUACUACCGAUAACCGUUUGAGAGAAGGGAUGACACAGUAGGAUAAGCUAAGCACACUGUUGGUUAUGUGUGCCCAAGCAUUGAGGCAGUCAAAGUAGGCAAAUCCGCUUUGAUAAUGCUGGGAUGUGAUGGGGAGCGAAAUUUAGUAGCGAAGUAGCUGAUUUCACACUGUCAAGAAAAGUCUCUAUCGAGGUUAAAGGUACCCGUACCGCAAACCGACACAGGUGGGUGAGGAGAGUAUCCUAAGGCCAGCGAGAGAACUGUUGUUAAGGAACUCGGCAAAAUGACCCCGUAACUUAGGGAUAAGGGGUGCCACCAUCAGGUGGCCGCAGAGAAUAGGCCCAAGCGACUGUUUACCAAAAACAUAGGUUUCUGCUAAGUCGCAAGACGAUGUAUAGGAGCUGACGCCUGCCCGGUGCUGGAAGGUUAAGGGGAUCUGUUAGAGCAAUCGAAGCAGUGAACUUAAGCCCCAGUAAACGGCGGCCGUAACUAUAACGGUCCUAAGGUAGCGAAAUUCCUUGUCGGGUAAGUUCCGACCCGCACGAAAGGCGUAACGAUUUGGGCACUGUCUCAACAACAGACUCGGUGAAAUUGUAAUUCCGGUGAAGAUGCCGGAUACCUGCGACAGGACGGAAAGACCCCAUGGAGCUUUACUGUAGCUUGACAUUGGGUCUUGGUACUACAUGUACAGGAUAGGUGGGAGGCUUUGAAACCAGGACGCCAGUUUUGGCGGAGCCAUCCUUGGGAUACCACCCUUGUAGUACUGGGACUCUAACCAUAGGCCAUGAAUCUGGUCUUGGGACACUGUCAGGUGGGCAGUUUGACUGGGGCGGUCGCCUCCCAAAAGG
rnacentral:rRNA from 1 species